UACGUAGGGGGCAAGCGUUAUCCGGAUUUACUGGGUGUAAAGGGAGCGUAGACGGUGAAGCAAGUCUGAAGUGAAAGGCGGGGGCUCAACCCCCGGACUGCUUUGGAAACUGUAUAGCUAGAGUGCAGGAGAGGUAAGCGGAAUUCCUAGUGUAGCGGUGAAAUGCGUAGAUAUUAGGAGGAACACCAGUGGCGGAGGCGGCUUACUGGACGGUAACUGACGCUGAGGCUCGAAAGCGUGGGGAGCAAACAGG
rnacentral:rRNA from 1 species